AUCAUCAUCGUCAUCUUCAGUGACAUAUGAUGACACUAUCAUUCUGAAUUUCACAACUUGUGACCCAUCAGAAGAAGAAGCCACUACUGAAGGAAGUCAACCUAAAAGGCCAUGUCACAUAAAUUAUGAGGCACAAGCAUUGAUUGAAAAAAUCUUGACAACAAAGCCUGGUGGUGAGCGUAUCAUGCAAGAGUAUGCAAGAACUAAAAGCUUGACAGAUGCAACCAGAAGACAGAUGAUAAACAUCCUUACAGCUGCAAUGACAGAAGCACAUGGAUCAUCCCCUCCUAAAAG